GCUCAACUGCGCCAUGUGCGUUUAUACUGUUUCGCCGGUUGUCGGACGUUACAACAAAGCGUUUCCGUGCUUCUCGCGUGUUCUAAACCCGAAUUGUGUACAAAUACGGUCUCGAGAGUAUCGAUGUGAUUGCGAAUAAGUAUUCUGACACGCAGUCAACCGUAGCGUCGCACGAGAGGUUAUAGCGAGUAUCGUGUGUGCUUGUUGCGUACUUUCGUCAAGUUUGUGCACGCAAACGUGUUCGUGGAAUAGGAUACUUCAUCACGCAGUAAAAUAUCGCGAAUGUCAAGUGAAGCGUUACUUGUCGAUCAUAUAAGAUUUGCAAUCGGGAGUGAGUUUGUCUCGUUUCUAUUUACACGUGCAUCUAUUCAAACGACUCUCGCCGCUGUCUCGGAUGACGUGACGCAUUGGCCGCUUGUUCUUUUUUUGCAAGUUUAAUGCCUGUUGAUACUUUCGCGUGUGUUUCGUGUUCGCGUUCGUGUGUAAUGUAUUUAUCAGCGUAAUAUUAAGAGUGUCGAAUCGGCCGGUCGUGUAUACGGUUGUGUGUACGGUUCAAUAACAACGAACGAGUUGUCAGCAGACUUUUACUUAAAAGAUGAGAUCCGUGGAGCAACUUUUAUCAUCAGACGUGACAAACCAGCAACCCAGAUUUUCUGAGAGGAGGAGGAGGUCUGGGAAAGGCAUCAGACCUCAGCGGAGCAUCCUUGGGUAUCAUCGCAGCUUCGUAGCUGAAUAACUCCGCUCGUUGCGCAUCAUGUCG